rnacentral:tRNA from 1 species
GUGGGGCUGUAGCUCAGUGGCAGAGCGCUUGCCUAGGAUGCAUGAGGCACUGGGUUUGAUCCUCAGCACCACA